UACGAGGGGGGCAAGCGUUGUUCGGAAUUAUUGGGCGUAAAGGGUGCGUAGGCGGCGCGGUAUGUCUCUUGUGAAAUCUCCAGGCUCAACUUGGAGUCUGCAAGGGAAACUGCCGUGCUUGAGUACUGGAGAGGUGAGUGGAAUUCCCGGUGUAGCGGUGAAAUGCGUAGAGAUCCGGAAGAACACCGGUGGCGAAGGCGGCCCGCUGGGCAGGAAGGCCUCGUAAGGGGCCGGCUGACGCUGAGGCGCGACAGCGUGGGGGAGCAAACAGG
rnacentral:rRNA from 1 species